UAACAAUAACAGCAUUAACUGUGUGUGUUGAUUGUAUUUUCAAAUUUGAAAUGUAUUUAUAAUUAAAAAAUUUUUUGCCUGUAAUACAUAUAUCCUCAUGCAAAAACUCUACUCUACUAACAGAAAUGUUCUAUUAGAUUUGGGGAUAGCCAGAAACAUCUGGGAAUCUAGACUGCAGACAGCCGUCUGGCCGUCCAAGCCCGCCGGUUUCCUGCAGAAGCUCCAAGACGAGACCCUGGAAAUCUCAGACCGCUUUGAUGAGUCAAUGUCUACUGGCGACCUGAUGUAACAGCAAAGGAAUUUACCUCAGCCACCCCUGGCCCUCUGCCCUGCACAGCAGACUAAACAACAAAAAGAGGACAGACACAGGAACAGCCGUAAACCUGGUCUUAUAUCACCACCUGCUGGUCGUUGAGAGAGGUCUACGACUGGAUGCCCUGGGGGUAAGCAGAUAAACAUCAAAUUGUCUUUUUUGGGUGAACUAUCCUUUAACAACUUGAGCCCCAGGUUUAAGAAUGAGGAGUCAGACGCCAGACACUGCCAAAGAUGCAAACAAAGUGCAAAAGAGGACACAUGUUGCAGAGGAUCUAGUCUGAGUAACUCUCACACUGCAGAGAAAGCUGAGCUGGUGCAACUGGUACACAGAGUCGAUACGGUAGUUCCUGUUUUCUGCCUGUCCUAAAAACAGUCCAGCAACAUGUUUCAGUAACAAAGGGAGGGAGAUGGUACAGAGUACAAACUGUAGGUGGAAUGCUAUUCUGGAAUUCUCCUGAGCUUCCUGGCACCAUCAGGCAGACCAUAAGCAGAUCUCUGUGUCUCAGCCAAUCACAGUGCCAGAGCAAAUGCACACAGCCAAUCAGAAGAUUUAUCUCUAACAGCCAAUCAGCUGCCCUGACCCUUGGUUGGCAUGCACACAUUCUGGAAUAUUCAAGGGAUGUGAACUCUGUUGUGCUGUACACAGUGUGCUGUUGGUAUGUGAAUACAACAUCGGAUCAAUAUUGAAUGUGGGUGUGUGUUUGUGUGUUUAUGCAGUGACAGUUGUCCCUGUAUCAAGGCCAAACUAGUGUGCGCAGCUAUUUACAUCUCUGUUUACAUUUGACGUGAUGUUUCAACUAGUACGGUUUGCUAUUUUUCAGUUAUGUAUGUUUCCUGUGCUGUAACCACCUAGCGGACUAAAUGCCACUUAAAAUGACUGUCUGCAAAAAGACUUAAACAUUAAAGCAUUUUCAUGGACAGAAGAAAGAUUCUGAUGAAUAAUAUCAGAAUAAACCUGUUUAUUUUA